rnacentral:rRNA from 1 species
GACGGAAGGUGCAAGCGUUGCUCGGAAUCACUGGGCGUAAAGGGUGCGUAGGCGGCUUGGUAGGUCUGGUGUGAAAGCCCCGGGCUCAGCCCGGGAAGGGCACUAGAAACUGCCAAGCUAGAGUGCCGGAGGGGAGAGUGGAAUUCCUGGUGUAGCGGUGAAAUGCGUAGAUAUCAGGAGGAACACCGAUGGCGAAGGCAGGUCUCUGGGCCACUACUGACGCUGAGAAGCGAAAGCAUGGGGAGCGAACAGG